rnacentral:rRNA from 1 species
AUGGACUUUAAGCUCUAGUUGCUUGAAGCUAUUACAAACAAAUUUUCAGAGGAUCAGAGAGUUGGCAGCGGCGUGUAUGGAGAUGUUUAUAGGGCGGUGCUUAAUGGGGAAGACAUUGCUGUGAAGAAACUCCAUUACUUACGAGGAUUUGAUGAUGGGCAAUUUCACAGUGAAUUCUGUCACCUUAUCAAGGUCUCUCACAAAAAUGUUGUACGCUUAAUUGGCUACUGCCACGAAUCUCGGAAGGAAUACAGGGAUCACAAUGGGGAAACUGUUUUUGCCAAUAAAAUGGAGAGACUUCUCUGCUUUGAAUAUAUACAUGGCGGGAGCGUCGAUAAACAUAUUGCAGAUGAAUCUUGUGGUCUUGAUUGGCCCACAUGUUACAAAAUCAUUAAAGGGACAUGUGAGGGCUUAAAUCACCUUCACAACUCGUGCAAUAAGCCUAUUUUCCAUCUGGAUUUGAAAACUUCUAACAUAUUGCUGGAUAAUAGCAUGAAGCCAAAAAUUUCAGAUAUUGGUUUAUCCAAACUUAUUAAUACGACAGAAACAUGUAAAAAAGAGAUAUUCAGAGGAACACACAGGUACAUGCCACCGGAAUAUGUAGACAUUGGCUUUAUAUCAAACAAGUACGACGUGUUCAGUUUGGGCGUUAUAAUUAUAAAAAUGAUGGCUGGAAAUAUGGGCUAUUCUCGUUGUUUCAAAAUGUCUCCCAAAGAGUUCAUUGAGCUUGUAAGUGAAAGCUGGACUAAAAGGUUGCAUGCAAAGCCAGGGUAUUCACCAUACGAAAUAGACAUCCUACGACUGAGUACAUGUGUUGAGGUUGCGCUAAGAUGUCUGGACGCCGACCGAGAAAAAAGGCCCUGUGUAGAAGAUAUUGUCCAUGAACUGGGGGAACUAGAAUCUAGGAUUAAGACAAUAAUGUUACUACCUUAUGAUCAUAGGAAGAAGCUCUUGCCUAACCUGGGCCUUGGCCAGUACUCUGCAAAAAGUACCAGGAUAUAUAUGUCCCAUAAGUUGGCCCAUGAUGGAGCAGUUGCUGCAUAUAAAUCUGAUUGGUCCAGGCUUGAUUCUCAGUCAGACCCCACUGGUACUGCUCAUGGUCAGUCGAAAGACCUAAGUAUCCAGGUAUAUACAUCUAUGGAGACCGGUGCAGAUUAUAAUUACUAUAUAUCUUACUUUGUACCGAUUUAUUCCAGUCUUAAUUGUUUACUUAGUGUGCUAUUACUAGUUAUGGAAAUCGUGGUGAACGACCCUACAUGCUGUUGGUGGCCUAGAGGCUGGCAUAGCCCUGUGAUUCGCACAAAUGAACCAUCAAUUUGGCAGAACACAUUGAAUCUUGUAGUUGUUUGCUUAUAUGCCUCACAACAGAACAUAAGUUUGGCUUAUUUUCCAUUACAGUUAACGUCCCGUUAA